GAUUUGAGAUAUACACUCCCUUACUUCUUGCCUGCUCACUUGCAAUAAACUCUUUUCCUCCCUCCUCACCUUGGUGUGUCUUUAUUGAAGAGAGGCCUCACCGAGCAGGACCUACUUUGGGUAACGAAUUCUGGCAACUCCAGAUGGGACCACCACAGCACUGCCUGAUUCUUGAGUGUAGAUUCAUUUUGGCCCUCAAGGUUGGAGCUGACCUCAGGCCCCUCAGUGGCAGACUACAGGAGGAGAAAGGGAAAUGUGUCACGUGCCCCAAGAAGAGGGAAGAAACUCCCUUGUGGGGACUUAAGUCAAAAACCUGAGCUCCACCACAUAUGCAUUUGAAGAGACAUGCAGAACCACCCAGAACUGCUGAGAGAACAGAAGAUGUGCUUUUGAAGCCAGGCUCUGCAGGGGGAAAAAAAAGGUGACUAUUUUGCUUUUUGAAUUUCAAGCAAGCAGUUUGCUGUUGGAUGCAUCGAGGCAGGGAAAGUCAGUGUUCAUCAGAAAGAGCUCCCUUCCAGAACUGGAAGUUAAAGGGAUCCAAUGAGUAGACACCUUGGUCUCCUCACUUGUGACCUGGAUCCACUAAUGAGUGGAAGAAGGGGAAGAGCAGCAAUGAAGAUAUGAGCUGACUUUAGACGUGCUCCAUUAACACCCAUUAACCCAGCUCACCUGGGCUAGGGAAAAACCAAUGCAUGUGGUGUAAAAAAGAAGGGCAUUGGGAAAGAGAAUACCCUGAGAGACAUAGAGCCCAAAAUGAACCUGAAAGCGUUAUGAAACAACAAGAGGAAGAGGUGGACUGAGAGGGACCAGGGGCCAAUCUUAUUCCUGUUUCCCUUAAAGACCCCCUGGUUAAAAUAAAUGUUGGGGAGAAAUGAUUGACUUUUUAUUGGACACUGGAGCCAACUAUUUGGUUAUUAACAAUAUGAAAGGACCCUUAUCAAAGAAAUCAAUACCUGUGGUGGGAGUUAUGGGAAGAAAGCUUACUAAGAAUUUUAUUCAACCCAUGGAGUGUUGUUUGGAUUACCUGCUUCCGCAGGAAAUGAUAAUGGACUCUACUUCAUAGCUGACGUAACCCAAAAAGUUGUAUGUUUUUUGGACAUCAAAUGGUGACUACAUGCAGGCUGGAGACCACAAUCCAGUGGAAAGAUUUCAAGAAUGAACCAGACACUUAAAAGACACAUAGCAAAGAUACGCCCUUGCCAGCCAAGAAUACCCUCCUGAGGUGAUGGUCCACCCAUUUCAACCUGGAAAUUUGGUCCUGCUGUGUGCCUGGAAAGAUGAGCUUCUCCAGCCCAAGUGGAAAGGACCCUUCGAGGUGCUUCUCACUACCCAUAUGGCAGGCAAACUGAAGGGAGUCGAACCUCGGAUUCACCACACCUGGUUGAAAGUGGCACCUGCCGCAGACACUGACCCUACAACGACAACUCUUCAGGACGACUGGAACUGUAAGCCGUUACAAGACCUGAAGUAUCUGUUUAAGAGACUGUGAGUUUUUAGCCUAUAGUGUUUGUUAACUGUGUUGUUUUCUUUCCUGUUCAUAUUUCACAUGUUUAAGAUAGUAGGUCUCUUAAACUAGACCCUGUUUCAUCCAAAUAUGAAGCUGUAGUACCUCACCUUCAUUCUUCUUUUACUGUGUCCCUCACAUGGUCAUGGCAUAGUAAUGCUUUUGUCAGAUCAGCUCAAUCAGUAGCAAGUGUGACAAACAUGACUAAACGCUGGAUUUGUAAUAUGUCAGAAAGCUAUUUCGCUUCAUGUUUCUAACCAAGAUAGGUCAAAUAUCUUUGACUGGCUCACCUCCUGGUUACCUAACUAUAACUGGCUAAAGCAUUUGUUUACUAUUUUUAUUUUUCUAAAUCAUAACAGGACUUUUUGUCUGCUGUUCUAUACAGUACAAUCUCCCACAUCCAGGAGCUGUUUCCCAAAUUACAAAAUGCUCUCCACAACCCAGGGACUAUAGCUUAUCACCAUAUCCCCAAAGAAAAGGGGGAGUGACAGCUAAUGCAGCCAGAAACUGCUUACUCAUUAUCAAGCAAAACCUUAAGUGAUAGUAAUGAGUUGGCUUAAUUGGGUGCUGCUCAGACCAGUUGGAACCUACCCCAUCCUGUCCAUUUUCCUCAAAGCACUGGGUGUGGCUCAAGCCUGCCAAACCCAGCUUACGAGCCUACAUGCCACGGGAAAAAAAUGCAAUCUGUCUUACUGCCCCUGUGUGUCCUGAUAACCUAUGUAGUCCAUAAUGUUUGUAUGUACUUCCUUGUGAGAGACUGUAUAAAAGGCUCUGCCUCCCUUUGUUUGGGGAAGUUGAUUUGAGGUAUACACCUCCUUGCUCCUUGCCUGUGCACUUGCAAUAAACACUCUUCCUCUCUCCUCAUGUCGGUGUGUCUUUACUGUCGAGAAGCCACCCUGAGCAGGACCUGCUUUGGGUAACAGAACCAUAGGACCCAGCAAUUCCACCGCUAGAAAUAUUCCUAAGGGACUGGAAAGCAGCAAUCAGAAGAGACAUAUGUGUACCAGUGUUAAUUACAGAAUUAUUUACAAUAGCCAAAAGGUGGAAACAACCUAAAUGCCCAUCAUAGGAUGUAUGUUGCUGUUGUUGUUAGGUGCCGUUGAGUCAGUUCCGACUCAUAGAAACCCUAUGCACAACCGAAUGAAACUGCCUGAGCCUGCACCAUCCUCACAAUUGUUGCUAUGCUUGAGCCCAUUGUUCCAGCCACUGUGUGAAUUCAUCUCUUUGAGGCUCUUCCUCUUCUUGGCUGACCCUCUACUUUACCAAGCACAUGUCCUUCUCCAGGGACUGAUCUCUACUGAUAACCUAUCCAAAGUAUGUGAGAUGUAGUCUCCCCAUCCUUUCUUCUAAGGAGCAUUCUGAUUGUACUUCUUCCAAGACAUAUUUGUUCGUUCUUUUGGCAGUUCAUGGUAUAUUCAAUAUUCUUUGCCAACGCCACAAUUCAAAGGUGUCAAUUCUUCUUUGGUCUUCCUUAUUCAUCGUCCAGCUUUCACAUGCAUAUGAUGUGAUUGAAAACACCAUGGCUUGUGUCAGGUGCACCUUAAUCUUAAAGGUGACAUUUUGCUUUUCAACACUUUAAAGAGGUCUUUUGGAGCAGAUUUGCCCAAUGAGAUGUGUCUUUCGAUUUCUUGACUGCUGCUUCCAUGGCUGUUGAUUGUGGAUCCAAGUAAAAUGAAAUCCUUGACAACCUCAAUCUUUUCUCCAUUUAUCCAUGAUGUUGCUUAUUAAUCCAGUUGUGAGGAUUUUUGUUUUCUUUAUGUUGAGGUGUAAUCCAUGGUGAAGUCUGUGGUCUUCGAUCUUAACAAAAUGUGGCACAUACAUGCAAUGGAAUACUACUCAGCCAGAGAAAAAAAUGAAGUCCUGAUACAUGCUAACACAUGGAUGGAGAUUGAAAACAUACUGAGUGAAAUAAGUCAAUCACAAAAGGACGAAUAUAGCAUGACCUCCCUAUGUAAAAAGACAAGAACAGGCAAAUGUAUAGGGAUCAAAGUUUAUUAGUGGUUACCAGGGAGGGCAGGACCUUUUCUUUCCUUCAGUGCCUGGAAUAGUGCUUUGUACAUAGGAGGUGAUUUCAAGAGUGAAUGAAAUACUGAUUUCCUAAGCCACGCCACACUCUUAUAGUGUUUAAAUGUGUGUGUGUCAUUCUUCAAAACUCCUCUUUGAGAUUCUGUAGGUAAGAGCCAGAGAACCCUUUGAAUUUGGUAAAAUUAGCAUUAGUUCAGGAGCCAUAAUGUUGAGCUGGACAUCUUCCACUCACUUAGUAUCAGAGUCUUUUCAAGUUUAUCUCCUAAACCAAAUGAUUUUCCAUGUCUAACUGCUUUCUUUCCUAGUGCUCGAUGCUUUCGCUCUCUCCUGGACUACACAGUCAACUCCUAUUCCUAUUUAUCCCUGUCGUGCAGCCAGAGUAACUUUUGAAAAAAUAGAACCUUAAGGGCACUCACUGGGCCCGUAAUGUUCUGUGUGUUCUUGCUGUUAAAUAUCAUUUUUAUGCAAGUAACAC